AAAAACAACUCUGCUGGCUAGGUCUCACUCUCCUCUCCAGAGCACACAUAAUUAGCCAAAGACUAUGGUUCUGCUCUGGGACGGUUAAAGGCUUACAGAAAAGAAGGUCUCGGCUGGUAUGAAGUACCUCCAUCUCGACAGCUGACAGGAAGAGACUCAACAGACUGACAAAGAAGGCCAGCUGUGUCCUGCCCGCUGGACGUGGUGGGAGAAAGGAGAAUGCUAGCCAAGCUAUCAUCCCUUAUGGUCAACAUGUCCCACCCCAUGCAGGACACUUUGUCAGCACUGGGCAGCUCGUUCAGUGACUGGCUGCUUCACCCGCUGUGCUGUCAGACUAUACAUCCAACACUGCUCCCAGUGGACCACACAUACAAAAACUAUGGACAAUCAAACAUCAUUCAUGUGAGAUCCAGUGUGGCAGGUACACUACAUCUAACUUCCCAGCAAUGACUGUGAUGUCCAUCAGGGGACCUGCAGCCAUGUACUGCAUGCUUUCUAUCCUCUCCAAGUGUCCACUCGAAGAGCAAAACUGAUCAGUCCUGUCCAUGUCCAUGAAAACCUCUGUGGUCACCUCCACAGACUGCUGGCCACAGGUCUGGACCAUCAGAUCCACCAGUGUGUCUGUACUGUCUGCCCCCUGUAGUCCGCUCAAUGGGACGUGUGGA